GGCCUAAGAGCAUCCACUAUGGAUAGGCGCGGCGGUAGCCGCGAGGCGCGGCGGUGGGGCGGCGGAUUAUAGUGGAGAAGGUGUCCGGCCCGGGGGUGGACGCGGCGAGGGGGGGGAGACGCGGCGGACGCGCGAUAGCCGUGUGCGCGGCGAUGUCGCGGCGAGGGGUCUAUAGCCGCGCCUAUAGGCGCGGCGGCUAUAGUGGAGUGCACCGCCGCGGCGAAUUCGCCGGUCCCGAGAAAUCUCUCCUUUGAGCUUCUCUGCUGCUAAUUUACUGUAUAUGAAGGUGUUGGCAUGGCUGUGGAGCUAAAAGAAGACGAGAAGGAGGAGAAGGAGGUGAAGAAGAAGACGACGAGGAAGCCGACUCCGACACCGAGUAGGCGGUGGCGGAUUUUUUAGUUGUAUUUUAUUUUACAUAUUCGUUGUAAAAUUUUACCGGUUUGAAAUACAACGAAUAUUCGGCCCUAA